rnacentral:lncRNA from 1 species
GUUAAAUGGCCCUCUGCUUCCUUUCCCGCCGCCAGUGCAUAACAUGGAACAUGGGCCCCACCUGCACGGACCACAGAACACAAGAGAUUCAGACACACCCGGGACAUGAUGAAGGCUCUGCUCUAAGUCACCUGGACCUCAUCCCAACACAGUGGCAGUGUCAGGGCUCAGUGUCUGACUGCACGACUGGGAGAUCUGGGUCCAGCAGACACCUGCAGAAGCAGCAGCAAGAUAUUAGCAACACAAGCGCCAGCACCACCUCAGACAACACCUCGCAUUGUACUGACCACUUACUGAAGGCUCUCAUUGUAGAGCUACAGAUUUCUACAGAGGCCCUCCUGGGGUGUUGUGGACUCUCAGAGGGUCUAUAA